rnacentral:rRNA from 1 species
UACGUAGGGUGCAAGCGUUGUCCGGAAUUAUUGGGCGUAAAGAGCUCGUAGGCGGUUUGUCGCGUCGAAUGUGAAAACCCGGGGCUCAACCCCGGGCCUGCGUUCGAUACGGGCAGACUAGAGUUCGGUAGGGGAGUCUGGAAUUCCUGGUGUAGCGGUGAAAUGCGCAGAUAUCAGGAGGAACACCGGUGGCGAAGGCGGGACUCUGGGCCGAUACUGACGCUGAGGAGCGAAAGCGUGGGGAGCAAACAGG